UUUAGUUGAGUUUAAGAAAUCUGUAUUCCCACAAAUAAAAAAAGAGAAGUGAUAUUGUCUCAAUAUAAUACUGCUCCAGUCAAUGGUUGACUUGAUCUGGGCUAACACACCCAAGUGGGAGGAACUGGACAAAGAGAGACAACACAGCCAGAGCGAGUCCAAACCCACAAGCCCUUGCAGCAGUGACACCGCAGAAACAAGAAGUUGUUCUUUGGGUGACACACCUUGCUGUGCAGGUGACCCUCCUAAACUAGCAAGCAAACUCCUGCUACCUUUCCAGGCAAUCUUUCCUCUACCUCUUAGCUUCUUCACUCUUCACCACAGCAUGAAAAAUACCAAUCUUUCCUCUACCUCUUAGCUUCUUCACUCUUCACCGCAGCAUGAAAAAUACCAAUCUUUCCUCUACCUCUUAGCUUCUUCACUCUUCACCGCAGCAUGAAAAAUACCAAUCUUUCCUCUACCUCUUAGCUUCUUCACUCUUCACC
rnacentral:lncRNA from 1 species